GACAUUGCGUUAUUUUAGCGUUAUUAUGCUUGAUGCAAGUUGUCAGAUGCAAUAAGUAUUUUACGAACACCAGUGACCAGUCCGAUAUAUUAAGUGAAUAAAUGUGUGUGUUUUAAAAAGUUAUGUCGUCUGGAUCUGGAAAUAGAAGGUUAAGAUAUAUUCGAGAACCAAAACAACCUAAAAGUCAUACCAGCCAUGAUAAUGAUUCUUCUGGUAAAGACUGUCAAAUGACAGUUUUAGAUUCAUUAUGAUGAUUUAGAUGUGUCUGAACAGUCCUUAGAAUUGGUGAUUAGCUCCAAAAGUAGUAGUAAUAGUACAUUAACAGAUUUUACACCAGAUCCUAUAGCAAAUGUGGAAUGUUUGCCUUGGAGUGGCUUGGAAUCGUUUUUUAUAUUUAGAGAAAAAAAGGGAAACAAUAUUAUUACAAAUUGUGUUCUGUGUGGCUCCCCAGGAAAGGAAAUAAGUACAGCUCAAAAUACACCGUCCAAUCUCAAACGUCGUGUUAUGGCAAAUAUUAAAUAACUAAAAAGUGAUACUCACUUUAAAGUAAAUAUUCUAAUUAUCUAAAUAAUAGGCCGUUAGUACUAAAAUGGUAAAUAUAUUCAAAAUUAU